rnacentral:lncRNA from 1 species
CAACUCAAUGAACCAAUGACUGAAAAUAUUUUAGAUCAAAACUAUCAAAGAUUUAGAUCUCACUGGCAUGAUCUCAUCAUGAUCCUAAAACCAUUGCCCUAAUCAAUAGGGUUCAUUAUAAUCUUAAACAAAUAUAAGAUGCGGCAUAUAAUGAAUCAAAGUGCCUAACUUUAUUAAUAAAUAAUGUCAAAUACAUGAGUUUGAAAGAUAA